UGGGGAAUAUUGCACAAUGGGCGCAAGCCUGAUGCAGCCAUGCCGCGUGUAUGAAGAAGGCCUUCGGGUUGUAAAGUACCUUCAGCGGGGAGGAAGGGAGUAAAGUUAAUACCUUUGCUCAGUGACGUUACCCGCAGAAGAAGCACCGGCUAACUCCGUGCCAGCAGCCGCGGUAAUACGGAGGGUGCAAGCGUUAAUCGGAAUUACUGGGCGUAAAGCGCACGCAGGCGGUUUGUUAAGUAGGAUGUGAAAUCCCCGGGCUCAACCUGGGACCUGCAUCUGAUACUGGCAAGCUUGAGUCUCGUAGAGGGGGGUAGAAUUCCAGGUGUAGCGGUGAAAUGCGUAGAGAUCUGGAGGAAUACCGGUGGCGAAGGCGGCCCCCUGGACGAAGACUAACGCUCAGGUGCGAAAGCGUGGGGAGCAAACAGG
rnacentral:rRNA from 1 species